rnacentral:lncRNA from 1 species
AUGACAUCACAUUUCAUUCAUUUUCUAGCCAUCACUGCCCCGCCUCAAAAUGUCUCCUUGUCCGUCGACGGGUCCAAAGUCAGCGUGUCCUGGGAGCCGCCUCCUGCUGACUGGCAGACUGGAGACAUCCUGGAGUAUGAGGUUAAGUGGUCCUACAAUGGUACUGACCUGCUGAUGAAGAAGACAGUGUCUGGGACUUCCACUGUGCUGGAGGGACUGCCUCAGGUGUCUGUAGCAGCCGUCACCUCUGAUGGUGUGCAAGCCUGGAGUGAACCGAAGUCUGUUGAGGACGACGCCUCAGAUUUCUCAAAGAACACUGGUACCUAUGUGCAGCUUUUUGAGGAAAGGAAUUGGUAUGGUACCUUGGCAUCGAUUGGAUUGUUUGGAUUUUUUGGAUUGAUUAUCUUGUUUCUGGUCUUGUUUUGGUGGAAGAGGGACAAGAAUAGCGUGUCUGGCUCUACCCUCAGAAUGAUGUGGAAGAGACCAGUGGCGAAACCACCGGGGUGACAAAAAAUUGUUGCCACCCCACUUGCCACCCAGGUUGUCAGAAGUGUCUCCUAUAAUAUACUAUACAUUUAUUGAAUGGUAUUACUGUAUAUUUUUGCUACUUAAGCUGUUGAUCUCUUUGGUAACUUGUUCUAAAAUCUUUAAGUUCCCUCUUCCCUGUAAAAUGGUUGAGUCCAUGAGUCCGCUUUGCUCUCUUGUCACCGUGGUUGCCCAUCUCCCGCUCCAUUCCAGUGAAGAAAGAACUUCCAUUUCCAAGGCUGGUGUGCAAUUUGAAAUCAAAGCUUUAGCAAUAUGAUGGCCACAGGUUAGCUCCUGCUAAGCUAUGCCUUAUCAGGAGCAAAGUAUUCUUGUAUUUCGAGUAUUUUCCUUAGUACUGUAUUUGUAAAAUUACAUAAACAAAUACAAAGUGCAACCAUUGAUGACCAAGACAUAUUCCUAAACAUCAAUACAGUGAGCCUAGCCACAGUGGACCAUGUUCUAAGGUGGAACACAGGGUGCCUUUUGUCAGAAACUCCGACAGAGUCAAACAGUUAUGCUAUGACUGCAAGUAAGUCAUAUACAUUUCCACAACUGAUUGCGUCCUAUCAGCACUGACACAUUACUGUACUGUAUUGUAAUCCAAUCCAAUGUUAUUUUCAAGUGUUUCACAACACUGCGUAGGUCUAUUUCUGAUACAACAUUGUCAAUAUUGUCUUGAGCUAGAACAGGAUGCAGUAGUUUUUUUUAUUUUACAUUUUUCUUUCUUUUUUUGUUGACUGUACUGGCCUAUUUCCUAUUGUUUGUUCUGUGCAAAUCAUUUACACAUUCAGUUGUGUUUGCUGUGAUAUAUAGGCUACAGCACUUUUGGAAAAAAUAAAGAAAUAUUUGAGUUGUUAUUGUAUAUUUGU